AAAAAAAACGGAUAAUGAUUAGUUUUUUCAAUUUUCAGUUUUUUUUUUUUUUUUUUGUUUAAAUGAAAAAUGGAAAAACUGGAUAACGGCCGUUUCCUGUUUCUGAAACUUAAAUUGUGAUGCCGGAUUUUUGUGCCGCAUACGGACUGAACCAGGACUAAACCAGGACUAAAACAGGACUAUAAACCAGGUCUAAACCAGGUCUAAACCGGGAUUAAAACAGGACUAAACCAGGACUAAAACAGGACUAAAACAGGACUAUAAACCAGGUCUAAACCAGGACUAAACCAGGACUAAACCAGGACUAAAACAGGACUAAAACAUGUCUAAACCAGGACUAAACUAGGACUAAACCAAGUCUAAACCAGGACUAAAACAGGACUAUAAACCAAGUCUAAACCAAGUCUAAACCAAGUCUAAACCAAGUCUAAACCAGGUCUAAACCAGGUCUAAACCAGGACAAACCCAGGACUAACCCAGGUCAAACCCAGGACUAAAUCAGGACUAAAUCAGGACUAAACCAGGUCUAAACCAGGACUAUAAACCAGGUCUAAACCAGGUCUAAAACAGGACUAACCCAGGACUGAACCAGGACUAAACCAGGUCUAACUCAGACCUGGAGUCACGCCUGCAUAGACUGUCAGGUGAUCAGGACUGAGACCGGGACCGAGACCGGAAUCGGACCGGGGACCAGACUCGGACUGAGACCAGUUUAGUCCUGGUUUAGUCUGUACGCGGCGCCAAAGUCCGGCAUCGCAGUUUAAGUCACGGAAACAGGAAACGGCCGUUAUCCGAAAAUAGUCGUUUUUUUCGUUUUCUUAUUUUUGGUUUUAUUUUGAAAAAACGAAUGAACGAACCAAACACAGAUUUUUUUUUUUUUUUUUUUGAAAUUCAAAAGAACGACUUGUGCACUGACCUGUUUUGAAUGUUAAAAAACUAUAAAAAUUUUGUCCCCGAGUGUCAUUACUGCGGAACAUUCCAGGCAAAACAAUAACGUGUAAUGGCAACUAGCAUGAUAACCGUGCACUUCCUGAUUAUGGGACACGUUUUAUUCAAAUACAAGCGGAAAAAAUAAAUCAAAAUCAGGUACAGGAGGGUUUACUUGUGUCUCUCAGACCGCUCUUACUCACUUCUCCAGAAUCUCGUCUUGAAAUUCCGAUGAAAAGUUCCACAGUGUUCGUCUCCACGGUUACAGCUGUUUUCAAAAUGCCUUGUUACAUCGAAGUGUUUCUCAGUGUCUCUUUACGUCACUUAUUCUUGCAAAAAAUAAAUCUUUAUGCACAAAA